rnacentral:tRNA from 1 species
UUUCUUAUGGUGUAUAAAACACAUCAGUUUUUCACACUGAAGAUGAAUUAUUUCUAAGGGAU